rnacentral:rRNA from 1 species
CGUAACACGUAUGUAACCUACCUUCUUCAGGGGGAUAGCCUCUCGAAAGAGAGAUUAAGACCGCAUAAUAUUGUAAUGUGGCAUCACAAAACAAUCAAAUAUUUAUAGGAAGAAGAUGGGCAUGCGGAACAUUAGCUAGUUGGUAAGGUAAUGGCUUACCAAGGCUACGAUGUUUAGGGGAUCUGAGAGGAUGGCCCCCCACACUGGUACUGAGACACGGACCAG